AAAAGUCGUAACAAGGUUUCCGUAGGUGAACCUGCGGAAGGAUCAUUAACACGUAUCCAACGUUAAUCCCCCCCGUGCACCUUCAUUUCUCUUGACUAAGAGUUAAACAACCUUCUUACCAAGAGCUAGACCCUGCAAAACCUGCCGGCAAUCGACCACCAGCUUACACCCUUAAACGGGCCAGGAGCCGGUAACCCGAACAACUGUUAACAAUGGAUAUCUUGGCUCUCG
rnacentral:misc_RNA from 1 species